AACGAACGCUGGCGGCGCGCCUAAUACAUGCAAGUCGAGCGAGAAGGUGUAGCAAUACACUUGUAAAGCGGCGAACGGGUGAGGAAUACAUGGGUAAUCUACCAUCGAGUGGGGAAUAACCAACCGAAAGGUUGGCUAAUACCGCGUACGCCUCCGAGUCUUCGGGUUCGGAGGGAAAGCUGCACUGUGAGUGUAGCGCUCUUUGAUGAGCUCAUGUCCUAUCAGCUUGUUGGUAGGGUAACGGCCUACCAAGGCUUUGACGGGUAGCUGGUCUGAGAGGACGAUCAGCCACACUGGCACUGCGACACGGGCCAGACUCCUACGGGAGGCAGCAGUAAGGAAUAUUGGUCAAUGGACGCAAGUCUGAACCAGCCAUGCCGCGUGAAGGAUGAAGGUCCUCUGGAUUGUAAACUUCUUUUAUAUGGGACGAAAAAGGGCAUUCUUGCUCACUUGACGGUACCAUAGGAAUAAGCACCGGCUAACUCCGUGCC
rnacentral:rRNA from 1 species